ACUCCGGUUUUCCUCCUCACCACCUUUUGCAAAGCUGGGAUAUUCAUCUCUCUGUUCUUAGGAGUCCGAACGCAAUGACGAUUCUUUGCCUCGUGCCCUUUUCUUGCAAAUUUCCCCCUUCCCUUAUGCUUUUUUGGAAGAUUUUAACUAACUUGAUGGCAAUGCUCGAUUGUUGGAGUUGGGUCUGUCAGGAGUACGAACAAAAUCCUAAAUGUUGGUCUUUUUUUUUUUUUUUUUGUUACAUUAAUUUUGGCUCUGUUCUUAGGAAAAGGUGCAAAUUCAGAAGAAGGCAUCCUCUAACUUAAACAUGGUCUCCUGUCGUUGUCAGACUCCAUGAAGAAUGGCAAGAAAUGAGAAGGAUGAAACAGCACUUUCAGUGGUUCUAUAUGGUUGAACAAGCCCACCAGCCCAAGAAAGUUCAAGUGGAGAGAUGUUUAAGGCAAUGCGUAUUAAUUUAUUAUGCAUUUUCUUAUCUUCUGCGCACUUCAUAACCUUCUGUCUAAUGUAUUCACGCAGCAUUCAUGUUUCUUCAACACUCGUUGUAACGGCGGGAAACAACUUGCAAAUAGAGGACCCUUUCUCUGUUUCCUUUUUUUUUUUUUUAACUCAAGCCUUCCUUUUCUUGGGCUACGAGCCGAGGGAGAGGGGUGUGGAGACCUUUCUGAUCCUCUCAAGUCUCCACUAGGCUUCCUUUCUUAAUUUCGCCCUGCCAGUGAGGAGGCUGUUGCCCCCCUCCUUUGUUUAGCUGGCCAGCCCGAAGGGGCUGGCUUUUCU
rnacentral:lncRNA from 1 species